GUUCCUAUAGUUGAAUAACAACGAUGGUUUUUCAUACCUUUGGUCAUAGUUUAAUUCUAUGUGGGAAUU
rnacentral:tRNA from 2 species